rfam:Erinaceus europaeus unplaced genomic scaffold scaffold00605, whole genome shotgun sequence
GAGAAAUUAGUAUAAUAAAGUACAUUACUUUGUCAAAGUAAAAUUAAAGGUUAAAAUCCUUUAUUCCUUU